ACUCCUACGGGAGGCAGCAGUGGGGAAUAUUGCACAAUGGGGGAAACCCUGAUGCAGCGACGCCGCGUGAGUGAAGAAGUAUUUCGGUAUGUAAAGCUCUAUCAGCAGGGAAGAAAAUGACGGUACC
rnacentral:rRNA from 1 species